CCCACCCGCCCAGCUCGACGCCGGAAGCGAUGCGCCGAAAGGCAGCGCGCCGGAAGCGGCGUCACCGGGAGCGACGCCCCCUCCUUCCGCUCUCUGGAAGGCGCAGUGUUGGGAGCUCAAGCGGCACCCCUGGGAGACGGAAACCCCGACAGUGCAGCAACCACUGGAAUGCCGAGCCGCCUAUUCACUGCCCGGGCUGUAGGCCUUCCUCGCCCUUCCUCGCCGUGCCGCGUGGGCUCUGCUGGUCAGUACCCCACCACUACUGUCGUGGCCCCACAUUCUAGUGCUGGUUUCCCUCUCUUCUCGAUCAGGAUGUCGAUCCUUACCCAGAUAAGAGGCCCGCCCACAAGGGACAUUUUGCAGCACAUGAAGCUUUGUAAAUGUCAGAUUUAUUAAAGUAUAAUUUACAUACAAUAAAGCACAAUUGGAUGAGUUUGA